ensembl:rRNA 5S_rRNA 5S ribosomal RNA
GCUUACGGCCAUACCAGCUGAAGAAACGCCCGAUCUCGUCUGAUCUCGGAAGCUAAGAAGGCUUGGGCCUGGUUAGUACUUGGAUGGGAGACUGCCUGGAAUACCAGGUGCUGUAAGCU